AAACAGACCAAGAGCCUUCAAAGCCCUAAGUAAGUGCAUUAUACUUAACUCCUG
rnacentral:tRNA from 1 species